AAUCCAUAGGUUAAUGAGGCGAACCGGGGGAACUGAAACAUCUAAGUACCCCGAGGAAAAGAAAUCAACCGAGAUUCCCCCAGUAGCGGCGAGCGAACGGGGAGGAGCCCAGAGCCUGAAUCAGCAUGUGUGUUAGUGGAAGCGUCUGGAAAGGCGCGCGAUACAGGGUGACAGCCCCGUACACAAAAGCGCAUGUGCUGUGAGCUCGAUGAGUAGGGCGGGACACGUGGUAUCCUGUCUGAAUAUGGGGGGACCAUCCUCCAAGGCUAAAUACUCCUGACUGACCGAUAGUGAACCAGUACCGUGAGGGAAAGGCGAAAAGAACCCCGGCGAGGGGAGUGAAAAAGAACCUGAAACCGUGUACGUACAAGCAGUGGGAGCACCCUUUGGGGUGUGACUGCG
rnacentral:rRNA from 1 species